AUACUUACAUGGCAGGUGAGACACCAUGAUCAGGCAGGUGGUUUUCCCAGGGCGAGGCUCAUCCCCUGCACUCCGAGUGUGCUGACCUCUGCGAUUUCCCCAAAUGCGGGAAACUCGACUGCAUAAUUUGUGGUAGUGGGGGACUGCAUUCGCACUAAUUUCCCUG
rfam:Meleagris gallopavo isolate NT-WF06-2002-E0010 breed Aviagen turkey brand Nicholas breeding stock chromosome 4, whole genome shotgun sequence.